CGGGAUGUAGCGCAGUCAGGCCAGCGCACUACGUUCGGGACGUAGGGGUCGGGAGUUCGAAUCUCCCCAUCCCGACAA
rnacentral:tRNA from 1 species